rnacentral:rRNA from 1 species
UAAAGAGGGCGCGAGCGUUAAUCGGAAUUACUGGGCGUAAAGCGCGCGUAGGCGGCUUUGCAAGUCGGGUGUGAAAUCCCCAGGCUUAACCUGGGAACUGCAUUCGAGACUGCGUUGCUAGAGUAUGGGAGAGGGAAGUGGAAUUUCCGGUGUAGCGGUGAAAUGCGUAGAUAUCGGAAGGAACAUCAGUGGCGAAAGCGACUUCCUGGACCAAUACUGACGAUCAUGUGCGAAAGCGUGGGGAGCAAACAGG